CGAUGCCAGGGUCAAAAGGUCUUUCAUCCACAUGAGCUUGCUCAUAAGUGGAUGAAAGACCUUGGGAUCCGCCCCAAUAUGAGCCUAAAAGUGGGAUGACAAUCCCACGAUAUGCGAAUAAUUGGGAGGAUUGUGGGAGUGCAAAGCACGAAACAAUCCGUAGGCAUCA
rfam:Dorea formicigenerans CAG:28 genomic scaffold, scf360